AGGAAACCUUGAUUUCCUCCCAGGCUGAGCACUCCCCCGCUGUUGGAGGGAGGAGUGUCUCACACCAGGUUCCCGCUUUUGCUGAAACCAGCAAAGGGGCAAGACCCACGGCCGACAUUCACCACCCUGAGGCCAGAGCUGGACCUGACUUCUGACUCAGAGAUUGGCAAAUCAGAGGCCAUCAGAGCAGAGGGACCCCGAGUUCGUAUCUGGGAUUUACUGCGGAGGACACUGAGACCCAGGGGAGUCUGAACCGUUCAGAGGCCUCAGCGAAUGAUGAGUCAGGGUAGGAGGAGGCAGGGCUCAGGACCUCCAUCUCCUGCAUCCCUGUGGGUGGCUGUGAAUGCAGAUACUCUACAUUUUCAACUUUACAAAAUGGUGAUGAGCAUAUUUCCCAACUUCUUGAAGUGUCUGGGGAUAGUCAAUUUCAGGAACACUUUGAAAAUGCACUGGUUACCAUGACAUCAUUACUACGCUUGACUUGUUGAUCCUUAAGAAAUUGGAGCUUUCUUGCUUGAGCUACUUUUGUGUGUUUUUUGUAUAGAUGAAAAGGUUUACUUGAAAUCUCCUGGGGAGCAAUUAUGGUUCAGGUUUAGCUUAAUGCGUUUGAACCUGGGACCUUCUGAGAAUGAGUUGGAGGCUGCUGUAACCUCCUCCCCAGCAUCUUUAGCCAAUACCCUGCCCUGUGACACAUGGCCUGCACCAAGGAGAUGGAUCCCUGGCACUCACCUAUCCAGACUCCAUCCUGAACAUCUGACCUCCACCCAUCCCAUGAUCUGCUCCCCGCCUGUUCCUGACCUCAUCAGUUCCUGAUACCCAGGUACUGCUCAAGAGGGAAGUGCAAGUCCACGAUGCCAGCUAAGACCACACCUGGCCCAGGACCUUGCUUUUUGUUGUCUUAAAGCCUUUUUGUACCUGUUUGCUAGUAACAAUUAGAGGAGGACAGGGUGCUCUGGUCCUGGGAGAGAUGCUGCUGUGAAUGGACAGAGCACAGUGGGCUCAUGGGCUGGGGUCCUGGCUCUGCUAAUAAUGCUGUGUGGGGCUAGGAGGACUCCAGAACUGCCCCAGGGUUAGGGGUGGGGCAUUAAACUGUGACUGGACAGCUCCACAUCUGGUGUCUGUAAGCAUCAAAUGAGAAGAUGAAACACGUGUGAGCAGGAGGUGGUUUAUAUAGGUAACAAAGCAUUAUUUCUGUUGUAACAGAACCAUCUAGAGACAGAACAGAUGCUACAGAUCAGGUUGGCUGACUCCCAGUGAUAUUCCAGGAACCUAGGAACUAACUGGCGUAGAGGAAGACUGGAAGCUCCCCAAGAGCAGGACAUCUCUUUUCCCCAGCACCUGGGGCAGCCCCUCUGGCAUCGUGGUGCUCAGGAAAUAGUGGCCUAGUGGAUGGAUGGAUGAACUGGAGUCACACAGACCUGGAGCCCACAGGAAAGGGAGUUGUAUUUGCUAGAACCCACCUUUCCUAAGGACAGAUAUGGUGGCUACAACAAUGUGGCAAAUGACAGGACUGAAACAGGAUGGGUACCAGGGGGCUCUAGCCUGCUCUGGGGACUUGGAGAAGGCUUCUUGUUGAAGCUGGCACCUGAGUGCCAGUGCCAGUGUUGAGGUGGGUCAAGGCUAGCGAGGGGAAGGAGGCAGAAAGGGCAGCCAGAGAGAACGGGAUGAGCAAGGGCAAACACACAGAGGCAGGAGACAGCAUGGGUGGUGCAGGAAACUUCACUCCUUGCUGGAUUGCCAAGUGCAGAUCACUUGGUAGAAGUGGCUGCUGGAGAGGUUAAUUGGGGCCAAGACCCGGAAGGCGUGGUGUGCCUGGCCUUUCUUCCCCAGUGAGGGGCCAGCCUCGGACAUUUGAGAGCAAGGGCGUGACUUGGUCAUAUUUCAUUUAUGGAGAGCAUGUGGUUGCCCUGUGGAGAGGAGAUCUAAGGCAGUAGUUCACAAACCCUAUGCAAUGAUCACCUGGGGAGCAUCUAAAAGGCAUUGAAUCUAGAUGCUACCCCAGACAAAGUCAGAAUUUCUGGGGAUCAGGCCCAGGCACUGUUUUCUUUUUAAUUGAAGCUAACAUACAUAUAGAAACAAAUAUAGAAAAUGAGUCACUGAUAAAUUAUGACAAAAUGAACAUACUUACAUAGUCAGCAUCCAGGUAAGGAACAGAAUACGAUCAACACUCAAAAGCUCCCUCCUGCUCUCUUCUAGCACUAUCCACGUCCCAAUAAGACCAUGUAUAUAUCUGCUUGUUUUUGAAAUUUAUAUAUAUAGUUGUAUGUUGUUAAAGUUUUAGUCUCAUUGCUGUGAGGUUAUUCUAUUGCAUGAAUGUGCUGUUUGUUUACACAUUCUGCUACUGGUAGACAUUUGGGGGUCAUGAAUAGUGCUGCUAUGAAAACUCUUGUCCAUCUUUUGGUGAAAUGUGUGUAUACCUUUCUGUUGGGGAUAUACAUGGGAGUAGAAUUGUUGGGUCAUAGGGAAUACGUGUGUUCAGCUUUAGUAGAUAUACAAAGUGGUUGUAGGUAUUCAUUAUUUUUAAGAGCCCCCAAAUAACUGUAAUACACAGCCAGAGCUGUUUUAACAGCUAUAAGCCUUGGAGAUAGGGACGCCAAUUAGGAGGCUAGCAUUGUCUCCUGAUUUGUGUUAGGGGAGAUGCCCAGGGAGAUGUCAAUGUUAGAAGAGAUUAAGAUUUCCACAAAAGAGGGAGCAGGCAGCAGUGGAGGAAUAGUUAUCAGAAAAGAGGCAGCGAGACUGUUGGUAAGAAGAAAAAAGAAAAAGGAAGAGAAAAACAUGCCCUAGUGCUGUUUUAGUUUCUGGCUUUGCAAAAGUCUCUGAAAAAGGAGGCAAAAACUGUUCCUAGAGGAGGGGCAUGAGCUAGAAUAGUUUCAAGAGCGUCUGUUGCCACAGUGGGGCACCCAGGGUAUCAGCCAAAGCCUGCAGACACUAUGUCAUAGGACUCUAAUUAUGAGACAUGAAUUCACUGGUUACACAUGUGCUUAUCAGGCUGGUGCUGUAGCCAGGAUGCUUGGUGAUUAGACCUGAGUUCUAAUCCUUGUUCUGCCACUUGCUGGCUGUUUAACCCUUCACAAAUUGUUCCAUGUCUCUGUAUUUUAGUUACAGAGCAUUCUGGCUUGAUGACCUACCUCUAAGAUCCUCUCCAGUCCUAUUGGUUUGUCACUUAUUUUAUGUCACUCUAGGGGUGAAAUUCCAGGAAGAAGAUGACCUGAGAAGUUGGCACGAUGCUGUAGGUUUAUAUCUGAGAUGCUUUUGGAGGAAAACACUGGACUAUGUAAUUAUUCCCACAAGUCAUAUAGCACAGGAUAACAUACUCGUAGAUUGUUUUAGAUCUAAAUCCCUUCCACUUGCUUUUAUGAAACAGAAGCAUUUAAUGGGAAGACCUACUGAGCUGCUUUGGAAGAGAAAGGCCAGAACUACUUUAAAUCGUGCAGAAUGAGACAGGUGGGUCCUGUAAUGCUCAAGUCAUCAAUAUGGCCAUCGGUCCCAGGAGACUCCAAAUACCCCCAGAUACAGAUACGGCGGAUGGCCAGUGUGUACAUAGUCAUUCAGUCAUGUCCGACUCUUUGUGAUCUCAUGGACUGUAACCUGCCAAGCUCCUCUGUCCAUGGAAUUUU